AUGGGCACACCAACGCCUGGAGAUGUUGAAUGCAGAAGGCGAAAUGUCAGAAGCUGGAGUCCUACAUCUCAGCUGGAGGGUGAGGUAAGAUUCCUGCUGGUGUUCAUCCCUCUCCUCACUUCCCUCAGCAGCAGCCCCUUUCUGCUCCCCUCCUGCAUCCCUGGAGCAAGUGCCUUAAGGCCCUCCUGCUUCAACAUGCCCCCCACCCUACAGCCUUUCCUGCAUUUCCCUGUCCUCUGGGGAGUCCCUGCAGAUAGAAAUUCAACUGCACAGCCACGAGGAACAUCUCCUUGAUGUUAACUAGACUGUGUUUCUUUACAAAUAUCUGGUGGCAGAUCUCCUCAUUCAUUCAUUCAUUCAUUCAUGCACUCAUUUAAUCUUCAUUCAUUCAUUCCAUCUUUCAUUAUUCACUCAUUGGGUUUGAGCAACUAAAGCAGCCACGAGGGAUGAAAUUCUCCGUCACUGUGAAACUGCUCAUUCACCCAACCAGCCAGCUCGCUGUUUCUGUCAUUCAUUAUACACCUCAUAAGUCCUGCAUAGGUCUGAGAUGUGGGCUUCAUGUAUGUCUGGCAGGCGUCCAGGCUUUCCCAUCAUGUGUCUGUCCCCUGGGUCACAUCCAUGUCAGGUGGGUACCACAGUCUAAAGUCCUUGUAUUCUCUUCCACAUACUAGGGCUGAUAAUUUAUCAGUUGCCAUUGAUCAAAGUUCACAAGGCAAAUCUUCAUAAACUUCUGAAGCUGCCUACAGUUUCCCGUAAACAAAUCUCUUUAAAUUUACAAAAGCAAUGCUUGCUGAUUGUAAAAAACACACAGUGCCAAAGCAUACAAAGGAAGAAGACCCGCUUGCAAUUUGCUACCUACAUCCCACUCCUGGGGCCAACAACUAUUGGAAGUGUGGUGAGUGAUUGACUUACAUCCUUCUAGAUCUUAUCUACAUAUUUGCAAAGAAAAAAUAUACACAUAUAAAAUAAAAUAUGUGUGGGUUAUAUCCUUACAAACUGAGAUCAUAGGCAGUUCCGCAACUUGCCUUUUCUCUGUAACAAUAAGUGAUGGAUGCUUUGCAGGGUUGGUGCUACAGAUCCUAUUUAUUCUUUUAAAAGGCUGCAUAGGGAGCUCUGGUGGCACAAUGAGUUACUGCCUGAUACUUAUUGAGCUCUUUUGUAUGAGCACUUCUGAAGGCUCAUUUCUAGAAGUGGAAUUGCCACGUCAUGUGCAUUCUACAUUUUAAUGGAUACCCAGUGCCAGGCAUAGUGUUUCCUACAUAGCAGGAGCUUUGUAAAGAUCUGUGGCAUGAUUACAUGGUGCCAGAUGGCCCUCUAGAAAGGUGACACCAUUCCCACUCCCACCAAGGAUGACCAGAAGAGCCACAGAGGUUUCCAUUUCUGUCACCAGGUGACAGCAACACUAGGUUUCAGGAUGGCCACUUUCCCUAGGGCCACUCUGCUACUCCCUAGGAGGAGUUAAAGGCCCUGUGAUGAAAGGAAGGCAACGUCCGGGCCGAGGGUAACUUCUCCUCCAGGUCUCCCAAGCCCAUUUCUCAACAUCCUCCUGCUAUCACGGUGAGGGCAACAUCAGCUGCAGGACUUCUCUAAUUGGAACUAGCCACAUCUACACAAAGAACCCACGUAUUUUCUGCCACCCCUGACCAAUCCCUGAAAGUAAAGGGAAACUUCCACUUACGCUUGGGCUCAUUCUCCUAUGGCCAACCCUGGCACUAUCUUGUCAGUAACUGCUGCACUCCUUCCAGGGCCCUAUCUCACUGGGAACCCACACCCGGAUAGUCCCUGUUCCUGGCAUCUUUGGGGCUGCCUGUGCCAUCAAGCUGCCCCCAGCUCUGCCACCUGUCUGCGUCCUGAUGCCCCCAGGAUGAGCAUUAUUGGGAGAGCACUAAAAGAGGCACCCCUGUUGGCAUACCAGGGCCAGUUCUACCUCCAAUCCUCCUGAGAGCUUUGGCCAGCAUUGACACGGGGCCCUCUGCCUGGAGAAGGAGGCUGGCAUUGAGUGGGCUGUGGGGGCGCAGUGCAAAGGCAAAAAUCAGGGUGGAGGCACUCAGCCCUGUCUGAGUCCCAAGGCACUGGCACUGUCCCGCCCCAUUCUGCAUUAUUAUGCCAGGCCCCCAUGGGUCGAACCCCAGUGAAGACUCUUCUCCCCUAGGGGGUUAACUCCCAUGAGCGAGCGGGGCUGGUAGAGAAGGGUGGAACCUGCCACCUCCUCACCUUCCUGUAGGAGAUUCCAGGGUGGGGCCGUUCAAGGUCUCCUAAAGCCCCACUCCACAGAUGCCCAGCCCCACCCACUGCUCUCCUGGGCUUUUCCCCACCCCCAUUGUCUCCCAGCAGGUGGUUUUCUGCUAUCAACAGCAGAAUGGGCUGUUCCAGGGCUGCUUCCUGGAUCCAACCCCCUCACAGCCAACUUACCAACUUCUCAUGUUGCGACAGAAGCACUUAGCCAGUCCACAGAUGCAAAAGAGGGACAGGAUGACCAGGAAGAUGAUGACGAAGAUCCUGGGGUGGGGAUCACCAAGAGUACUCUGAGUCUCCAGGCCACCCUGGGGACUCCCUACAUCUCCCCGCUCCCGCCGCCCACACUGCCCCCUCGGCAGGUGCCUGGCCUUGUCCACACAGGACCAGGCCCCUCCAAGGACUGCACCCAAAGGAGCUGGCCCUGGGCUCACCUCACGGGGCCAGGGAAGAGCUCGUUCUCCUGGCAGCAGCUGUCACCACAGCAUUUGAAUCCUUUGGGGCAGGCGCUGGUCAGAGGGUACAGAAAAGGGCAAGGAGAAGUUGCUGGCACCAGAAUGGAGAGGCAGAAGGAUCCCAGCCUCCCCAAAAUACACCCAAGAUGCUCAUGGCACAAGCCACCCCUUAGUGGGGUGGGGGGUAUGGCCCCCGCUCUGAGCUCAGUAGGACUCUGGGGAAGGGCGUGUGCAC